rnacentral:rRNA from 1 species
UACGAAGGGGGCUAGCGUUGCUCGGAAUCACUGGGCGUAAAGCGCACGUAGGCGGAUUGCUAAGUCAGGGGUGAAAUCCUGGAGCUCAACUCCAGAACUGCCUUUGAUACUGGCGACCUUGAGUCCGGGAGAGGUGAGUGGAACUGCGAGUGUAGAGGUGAAAUUCGUAGAUAUUCGCAAGAACACCAGUGGCGAAGGCGACUCACUGGCCCGUUACUGACGCUGAGGCGCGAAAGCGUGGGGAGCAAACAGG